rnacentral:tRNA from 1 species
GGAGAGAUACCGAAGUGGUCAAACGGGGCAGACUGUAAAUCUGCUGGCUAACGCCUUCGAAGGUUCAAAUCCUUCUCUCUCCACCA